rnacentral:lncRNA from 10 species
UGGUUAUAGAGGUGUUUGGGGUGUCAGCUCUGAAAUGCUAAAAAUAAAACCAGGCUUUCUAUCCUGGGAUGUCUCAUUAGUUUGCUUACAAAUGAGUCCCCCUGCAGUUUUUCAGCAAUUGGCUAACAAGCUCUAAUUUGAGCGUUUGGGCUGGACCUUGGCUCAGUGGGAGCAGACGCGGAGCAGACGCCUUCUCGGAGCUGCCUGUUUGGGGAAGCUGGUCGUUUCCACUCUAGCUCAGCCUCCCAGAACAGGGAAGCUGCAGGAAAGUUGACAAAAGCACAGCAAAGCAGGGAGAGCCUCCUCGGUAGAGAGCAACGACCAGUCCUUCUAGGUCAUGUGGAGUGGGCCAGCUUUAAUGAACCUGUCUAAAAGGAAGGAAGAGAAAGAGCUCAGCUCCUUAGGGGAACAAGGUGGACCUUGGCAGCUGUCUCACUCCUCACCAGCUCUUCACCUCAGAUCUUGUCCUGACUUCCUGGUCCACUAACGGCCUCCUGGAUAGAAGAGUCAGGCAGAGAACAAAGAUUGGUGGCUUCCUCCUGAGCACACUGGGAUGUGGCAUUACAUCGGGGCUGCUGAGUGCCCUUACCUUCAGCUGCCCAGAUGCAGAGGCAGGUAUUUGGCUAGAAGUUAUCACUGAUACGUUUCCAGAACACAUGGAGGCCAAGGCAGACAAAAGUAAAGAUGGAAACCAGACCAGUAAAUAAGUCCUUUGAUGAACUUCUGAGUCUCUACAGAUGAAGGCAAAGCUCCCUCACAGUUGCAGGCAACGUCUCAUCUUUUGUCACUUCUGGCAUGACACUGCACAGCCACAGCCAGUACGGUAUCUCUGCCUUUGCCCAUGUCCUGCCUUCUUUCUCCCUGGUCGGUAUCUCCUCACCUCAACCAGCUUGGCCAGCUCCUUGGUCAUUGGGGUUGCACCCACCCAGGCAUGUGCCUGGCUCCGCACAACCUCAGAAGCUCUCAGUACAGUGCAGGACCAGAGGUUGAAACCAAUGAAAGGUUGUUAAAUAAAGAGAAAAUGUUUAAUGCUGAGAACAAAGACUAGGAAAGAGAUGUCUAAUAAGAAAUUUUACAGUGAAAUACCAUGUGUUGUGCUCUGUAACUUCGUCUCCAUCUCCCUAACAUAGUGUUUAGUGAAAUCUACAGUGCUCACUCAUGCUUUGUGGAGUCUGGGGGUGAAAGCUUGUAGAUAUCCAACAUUUGCAUAACACUAGAAAGUCCACUUUGCCCUCUCCGAGAAAAUCUAGUGAUCCUGCUGUUUAUAUCUGAUUCAGAUCCCUCAAUAAGAGUUCUCUUGGUCUCAUUUUCAUACUGAUCCUAAGAAGCAUUCACUAACUAGGCUGUACCUACCUAGUACAGCUCUGUCCAUAUGGUAGAUCUGCAAUAGAUUCUUGGGAUCUUAUGGUAAUUAGAUAGCACGCCUAUUCUGGAAUAGUGGC